GAGUUAAGAAGUCAACUGACUGCCGAAAAGAAAAAACGAGGGUCAUCUGAACUGAAGGUGUCGGCCGCUGCCAUUGGAACGUGUGAUCACUCGCCUAUCGUGCGCGUAUUAAAAAUAUUAAUAUGGAAGCCCGUUUGCUACGAGGCCCAUGUAGUUUUAAAUUAGUGACUAUCUUUGUGUUGAGUGGGGAAGGAAAUCAAACUUUUUUUCUUUUUUCUUUUUUCUUUUAGAAAGUCUAUGUCUCAAAAAAGUUUUUAACUAUUCGUCUCAAGAUGAAUUUAACCAACGAUGCGAGCGAACACAAAAAAAAACGAUGCGAGCGAGCGUGGCCGCCUCUCGUCUUUCCGAUGAUAGGAAGCUGUUUCGUGUUCUCCCAACUAUACAGAGUUGGAUUGGCUCUACGUGGAGAAAUUCUGGGAAUCUUUAGGAUUUUGUUGCAGCAGACUUAUAUAAGAAAUAAAAGCUGAUUCAAGAAGAAUAUACGAGAGAUCGGAGAAAAUUUUGGACAUAUAUGCUCUACUUGGCGAAGGUUGAAGACGAUGGAUGACAAAAGUGAUGCAAAACGUGUGACAAUUAGAAAGUGAAAUAAUUAUUUACUUUAUAGUAGUCCUUAACAAUUAGGGACUUUUUAACACAUUCUUAGCAACAUAGCCGUUUAAAAUCUACACCAAAAAUUAGGACCUUGAUCUUUGAUGCUGAAAAUCUACACCAUUUAAGUGGUGAAUGUGGGUAAGUCACAUCAUGUGUUAACUCAUAAAUAAUUUUUAGUUUUAAAACAAUUUUCUAAAA